rnacentral:misc_RNA from 1 species
GAACGCAUCUUGCGCUCCUUGGUAUUCCGAGGAGCAUGCCUGUUUGAGUGUCAUUAAUAUCUCAACCACGCAUGAAAGCGUGUGGCUUGGACUUGGGGGAUGAUGCAGGCUCGGACUCGGUCGGUCGGUCUGCUCCCCUGAAAUACAUGAGCGAAAUAAAAGGCCUCUUUGUUGGGUGUGAUAACUCUAUCUGCAUCCGAGGGUCGUUUAUGUUUGCCAGAUUGGAUUGGAUUGGAUUUCAUUUGACUUGACCUCAAAUCAGGUAGGACCACCCGCUGAACUUAAG